CUCACGCCAUUCCCUCUUCUUCACUCUCCCACACUUGUUCUUCCAUUCAACUCAAGAUCCUUUCGAUUCGCCAAGAGUUUGUCGAAGAACCAAGAGUUUUAAACGUUUCUACCGAUUGUUUUGUUCAAGAAAGGUGAUAACUCGUGCUCGAAGCGUGAUAGCAAAGGAAAGGCAGUAGUUGAAAUCAAAACGGUCGAGGUUGAGCAGCGACGAGCGGUUGGUGGUGUUGAGCAG